rnacentral:rRNA from 1 species
GACGAACGCUGGCGGCGUGCCUAAUACAUGCAAGUAGAACGCUGAAGAGAGGAGCUUGCUCUUCUUGGAUGAGUUGCGAACGGGUGGGUAACGCGUAGGUAACCUGCCUUGUAGCGGGGGAUAACUAUUGGAAACGAUAGCUAAUACCGCAUAACAAUGGAUGACACAUGUCAUUUAUUUGAAAGGGGCAAUUGCUCCACUACAAGAUGGACCUGCGUUGUAUUAGCUAGUAGGUGAGGUAAUGGCUCACCUAGGCGACGAUACAUAGCCGACCUGAGAGGGUGAUCGGCCACACUGGGACUGAGACACGGCCCAGACUCCUACGGGAGGCAGCAGUAGGGAAUCUUCGGCAAUGGGGGCAACCCUGACCGAGCAAAGCCGCGUGAGUGAAGAAGGUUUUCGGAUCGUAAAGCUCUGUUGUAAGUCAAGAACGGGUGUGAGAGUGGAAAGUUCACACUGUGACGGUAGCUUACCAGAAAGGGACGGCUAACUACGUG